UUGGCCUCUCCCCGUCGCCGAGCACAAUCCUAGACGUAUCCCUUUCCUAUAUACCCAAUUUUCGAACCCACGGAGCUUUAACAACUCUGGGGCCUGGGAACCGAACAGAGCCCACGGAGCUUCGACAACUCCGUGGGAAAGAAUUGCCGAACCCGCGGAGCCUAAACAACUCCGGGGCCAAAGAACCGAAUUUGUCGUAGUCCUCCAACAAGGAUUUAAGCGGAGCUGUGCCUGGAAAGCUGUCCAGCCUACACCACUACCAUCUUUUGGUGCCAAGAAUCCAACCUCAGCACCAGCUCCAGCCCUUUCUCUGCUACUGAUUUCUCUCAGACAGGACAGCUAAUGCCCUCUAACAGGCUGUGGAGCAGGCGGGCUCCUGAAAGAGCGAGUGAAUCAGUGAUUGCAUGCGUAACACAGUAGCAGGAAGCGAUUAACACCUAGGGAAACCACAGAUCAACCAGCAGAAGAAAUCAAUAGGAGACAAUGUAGCAACCAGGAAUUCUCUAAACUUAAUCAACGGACUCCCAAACCUGCACAUACAUGCGGACGACCCCUGGGGCUGACAGAUGCCAUCCAGUAUCCACCGAGGGGGAAGUCCCACAAGGGUCAAUGACCCCUGUAUUGGGCAAACCUGAAAACUGAGGAGUCACCAAAGUCUGCCAAGGACAGAUAAAAAGCACUGAAAAGUGACCCUCAGUGGUGCUCUCUUGAUCUCCAACUUGACCAGCACCCGACCUGUCCAGCCAGAAGGACCAGCCAGCGACCCCCUUCUGGAGGAUAACACCACGCUGAAAGAAGCCUCGACUGGCCAUUGACGGCAGACUCCAGCACCCGUGGGAUAGGUAUACCUGACUCUUGUAGCUCGCUACUGUGUUUGUGUGUGUGUGGGGACCAGACCCAAGGUUUAUGAUUUAACUUCAUUACAGUGUUUCAAUCUACCUAAUAAACCAGAAUUUUAAGGA